GUCUCGACUGCUGCGUGUGGUGACUAUCGUGAGGUUGAUGGAAGAGUCGUUUUCAUACUAGAUUUUAAAUUUUGAAAAUGUGCCCACGUUAAAUAAUUCGAUUUUUCACAUUUACAGUUCAGUUUUUGUUCCAAUAUCGUAAAUUAAGCAUGGUAGUGAUUGACGAAAAUUUUAGCUUUUUUUGUCACUUUUUUCGUCAAUCACACGUAAACUACAAAAAUGAGGUAUUUUAAUAAUUCAAUUUCAUUGGUUGGAACAAUAUUUCAGUUUUGCCAUACUGCAGAAUCAAUUAGGAAAAGUUUAGUGCUGAAGCAUUUUUAAAAUGAGGCGAAACAAGGUGACAGCAUACCAUUGUGUAGGUUUUGAAGUUAGCUGGAUAUCUUUUCAGAUGUAUAUUCCUUUGAACUGAAUUUGAGUUGAUGUUGCAUUCCAGUUGAAAAUCAGUUAAUAUUUUUUAUUUGUAGAAAAAUUUUGAAGCUGUAAGAUUACGAAACCAUGCCAUCUACCAUAUCCAGACUUGGGGAUCAAGAGUUUGUGAAAGGUCCCCAAUUGCAGGAAGCCUGUAGUAACUAUCCACACGCGGUCACAGAGGGACUCGCGAUAAGGAGAAACUACGAAACUUUCUACGGCAGUUGUAGACCUCAAGAGUUCCUGGCUUUUUCAUUAGCCCGACGAUAAAAAGCAAGUCCCCGACUAUUAUCAGUUCAUCAAGGACCCCAUGACUUUGGUGGAGACCGGAUUGCAGAGAGACAUCACCAAUGGCUUUUGGAGUUUAUUACCGAUCAUCGUCAAGAUUUCACGUUUUAUUGAAUAGUAGGCUACGACAAAUGUUGUCCUUCGUGCUUGAUGGUGACCAAGGAGUCGUAUGUCACUUGUGAAUGCCUUCCAUUAUAUUUCUUAUUACAUUUUAAGUUUCAACAUGUUCCAAUGAUGGAGAUUCUUAUGAAUUAUUUUAGCAAUUGUCAUUGUAGAGUUCAGACAUCGUACUAUCGUAGAUCGUUGUGGACUUGUGGAGACACAAUUUAUUUAGCUUUCUUCUUCACCUUCUCCUAAUUAUUUCUUAAAAUUGGUUAAAUAUGUUGAAUUAAAAAAGUUAAAAUAUUUCUCUCUAAAUGAUUAGAAAUAUAAUUUCUAUCCACUUCCAGUCGAUAGAAGUCGAAACUGUUUUUAUUGAACAAUCCAGUCUCCCCCUUCUUUCUUUAUAGAAAUAUAUUAGCAGAGAUGUUAUCUUAUUUUUCUGUAAUAGAGCUACCGUGUUCA